rnacentral:rRNA from 1 species
UGGAAGUAAAAGUCGUAACAAGGUUUCCGUAGGUGAACCUGCGGAAGGAUCAUUACCGAGUUGAUUCGAGCUCCGGCUCGACUCUCCCACCCAAUGUGUACCUACCUCUGUUGCUUUGGCGGGCCGCGGUCCUCCGCACCGGCGCCCUUCGGGGGGCUGGCCAGCGCCCGCCAGAGGACCAUAAAACUCCAGUCAGUGAACUUCGCAGUCUGAAAAACAAGUUAAUAAACUAAAACUUUCAACAACGGAUCUCUUGGUUCUGGCAUCGAUGAAGAACGCAGCGAAAUGCGAUAAGUAAUGUGAAUUGCAGAAUUCAGUGAAUCAUCGAAUCUUUGAACGCACAUUGCGCCCCUUGGUAUUCCGAGGGGCAUGCCUGUUCGAGCGUCAUUUCAACCCUCAAGCUCUGCUUGGUGUUGGGCCCCGUCCUCCACGGACGCGCCUUAAAGACCUCGGCGGUGGCGUCUUGCCUCAAGCGUAGUAGAAAACACCUCGCUUUGGAGCGCACGGCGUCGCCCGCCGGACGAACCUUUGAAUUAUUUCUCAAGGUUGACCUCGGAUCAGGUAGGGAUACCCGCUGAACUUAAGCAUAUCAAUAAGCGGAGGA